rnacentral:rRNA from 1 species
AAGGUAGCACAAUCACUUGUCCUUUAAAUAAGGACUAGUACGAACGGCACCACGAAAACUACACUGUCUCCUUUUUAUAAUCAGUGAAACUGAUCUUCCCGUGAAGAAGCGGGAAUUAUUCUAUAAGACGAGAAGACCCCAUGAAGCUUCAAAUAAGUAUCAACUCUUAACUUUACACCACCAGAUACAUAAUAGUCAUGAUUACUAAUUUUUGGUUGGGGCGACCAUGGAGUAAAACAAAACCUCCACAAUGAAAAGGCCUAACCCCAUUAUUCAAGAACAACAGUUCUAACAAUCAAUACAUUGACAUAAUUGACCCAAACCCCUUGAUCAAUGAACCAAGUUACUCUGGGGAUAACAGCGCUAUCUAUUUCAAGAGUUCAUAUCGACAAAUGGGUUUACGACCUCGAUGUUGGAUCGGGGUAUCCCAGUGGUGCAGCCGCUACUAAAGGUUCGUUUGUUCAACGAUUAAAACCCCACGUGAUCUGAGUU